GAUAAUUGAGCUUUGUGUAUUGUAGAAGCUCAAUUAUCUAGCCUGGCCCAGAGGAGGAGUUUUGUGUUGCAUAAAUUGUGAGUUCUGUGUGCCAGUAAAUCAGUCUUGUUCCAGCAUUAAGCCUUGGCUCAUGUUUGGGGGAUUGGAGAAAUACACUCUGGGGAUUGCUAUAAUCACUAUACUCCCCAGGGUAUGAUCACUAAGUUCCUGCUCUCUGGAGAAAGAGAGGUUCACCCACUGGAAGCUGGAUCCUGGCCUUGGGUCCAGGGUGAGUGGAGACAACAGAGACCCUGGCGCAGUUG